UGAGCUCUGAAACAUGACUGAAACUCUUCAGAUAAUCCAUUCUUCUGCAGAUGAUCUGGUUGACAAAUCCUUUUUAAGAAUUUUUGAUAUGAAAGGAAGGUUGGAGAUUGGCCUAUAAUUAGCUAACCAAGUUACUACUAUAUGGACAAAACCUUGUGGACUCCUACACAUUGAAACGUGUCAUAAUGACUUAUGAAUGGAGACGAAGAAACCAUGAAAACAAACCGUACUCAACAUCAUCGAUCUUGUUAUUUAAAUACCAGAAUGAUCUGUUUUGCUAACGGUUAGUAAAGAGAAAAUAUUAGAUUAAGAUGUGCACAAACGAGUACCCUCUGAGUUGUGCACCUUCCUUUCAUUAUUUACAACUCUGCUUCUCCUGUUUGUUCACUGUGUUUCCAUUUGAACUAACCAGUGCACUGUUUGCUUUCAGCAGCAAGGAAUGUAGAUGACAAAUCGUGUUAGGCUGUCACAUUGCCAAGCCUCAGGUGGCAGCAGAAAAUGGAGACACGUCCUGAUUUAAAGUAUCUUUUCUCUAGGUAGCGCUGUGUUUUGAAGAGUUCAGGUCUGAUGGACAGGUCGUUAUUGUCCCACUGUUGUGUCAUCUGUGAUGUGAUGCAGUCAUGUGUCAGCAGCGUGAACAGCAGUGGGCCCAGGACACAACCCUGAGGGGAGCUAAUGAACAGGGAGAUGGAGCUGGAGAUGUUGUUUCCCACGUUCGCUGAACUAUGUUGGUGGAAAAGUCCAAGCUGGUUUCCAUACAUUCACUCUCCUCAGGGUUUUCCAGACAUCGGCCACAUUAAGAUUCAGUGCUUUAUUUGAUCACUUUGCUUCUCAUUUGCUCCUGAAUUUUCCUUGGAUUGCGGCAUGAUGUCUGGCUUUUGAGGAUCUUUUGGUGUAUUCCACUUUGUCAGGCGGGUCCUGUUUAAGCGAUUUCUUGACUGAGACCAGCUGUGUCAGUUAUCAGGCCUUUCUCCUUUUAGUAAUAAACACCUUC